UACAGAGGGUGCGAGCGUUGUUCGGAAUUAUUGGGCGUAAAGGGCGCGUAGGCGGUGCGGUAAGUCACCUGUGAAAUCUCCUGGCUCAACUGGGAGCUUGCAGGCGAAACUGCCGUGCUGGAGUGUGGGAGAGGUGCGUGGAAUUCCUGGUGUAGCGGUGAAAUGCGUAGAUAUCAGGAGGAACACCUGUGGCGAAGGCGGCCCCCUGGACCGGUACUGACGCUGAGGCGCGAAAGCGUGGGUAGCAAACGGG
rnacentral:rRNA from 1 species